rnacentral:rRNA from 1 species
GACGAACGCUGGCGGCGUGCUUAACACAUGCAAGUCGAACGAAGUGGCGAACGGGUGAGUAACGCGUAAUCAACCUGCCCUUCAGAGGGGGAUAACAGUGGGAAACGACUGCUAAUACCGCAUACGGAAGGAGGGGAAUGCGGCUGAUUAGCUAGGUGGAGGGGUAACGGCCCACCAAGGAGAUGAUCAGUAGCCGGUCUGAGAUGAUGAACGGCCACAUUGGGACUGAGACACUGCCCAGACUCCUACGGGAGGCAGCGGUGGGGAAUCUUCCGCAAUGGACGAAAGUCUGACGGAGCAACGCCGCGUGAGUGAUGACGGCCUUCGGGUUGUAAAGCUCUGUUAAUCGGGACGCGGUACCGGAAUAGAAAGCCACGGCUAACUACGUGCCAGCAGCCGCGGGAAUU